rnacentral:snoRNA from 1 species
AAGCCAUGGUGAGGGCAGCUUCUCUGCUAAUCCUUAAAUCUUUCCCAAGCCUUAUACAAUGAUUCGUUCUCAAAUUGCUGAAAAGUAGUGAUGUCUUUGAUGAUCUU